rnacentral:lncRNA from 1 species
UGGGAUUACAGGCAUGAGCUACCAUGCCCGGCCAUAAUAACAUAUGAAGUGAUACUCACAUACAUUCAAAAUUAUAUCUACUUCAGCAAAACACAGGAAGCAGUGAUACAGUCAAGAGAAAGCCAUUAAAUUAUGCCUAAUAAUAAUUUCUCAUGGGUCUGGGUUUUAAUUAUUGCCUAAGUGUAGACAUCAAUAGCUUAAAAUUUUGCUUACUUAAAAAAUGUGGCUGGGCAUGGUGGCUCACACCUGUAAUCCCAACGCUUUGGGAGGCCAAUCACGAGGUCGAGAGAUCAAGACCAUCUUGGCCAACAUGGUGAAACUCCGUCUCUACCAAAAAUACAAAAAUUAGCUGGGUGAGGUGGUGCAUGCCUGUAAUCCCAGAUACUCAGGAGACUGAGGCACGAGAAUCGCUUGAACCCAGGAGGUGGAGUUUGCAGUGAGACGAGAUCGCGCCACUGCACUCUAGCCUGGCCACAGAGCAAGACUCUGUCUAAAAAAGAAAAAAAAAAAGCUUAAUAUUAAAAUAAUUAAGGGAAUGAAUUCAGAGAAUCAAUUAAGUAAUUGAGGGCAUAAUAUUGGCCUCCAACUUGAGCAGAACCUAGCCAGUUCUUUAUGUGGAAGGUGCCUGAAAACCACCCUGUGUGACGCAAUAAGAAGAACAUUAAGCUAUUGAUCAAGCAGACUGUGGAAAGGUGAAUGCAGAAGUCAUUUGUCAUCCUUGGCAUUGUGUUAAUGGAAGUUUUGUCUACACGAAGAGGACAGACAUUGUUCUACCAGAGUAAGGGAAGAACUGGAUAUCUGAGAGCUAGUCCCGGAACGUGUCCUUUGGUUUCUAGGUCUCAAAGAAGAGUAAAUGUUAUUCAUGAAUGCCUUAAACCGGAAGUGCGUAAACGGCAUGUGUGAGUGUGUGUGUUUUCCCAGACCACGCAGCAUGAAAGCUAUUGUUUCUGCUUUUAAAAACGUAGUAGAAAUCGGUAUCUAUAGAGACCUAACUGCCUGCUAUGCUUACAAAUAUUCAUAUAUUUUGAACCCAUGAUUUCUAAAUUGGUAUGGUAAUUUAUAGAAUUAUAAAUGCUAACCAAUCUCUUAUCAUGGUAAAAGGCCACCUUCAGCAAAUGUAUAUACUAAAGAGGAUAGCUAAAAGUUGGUGGAAUAACACAGAUAAUCGCAUUGUGCAAAAGCAUUAUUCCUUACUACCCUUUAAAUUGAGAAGAAGAAACAUACCUGGCUUUUACAUUUUCUGGUUAAAUAAAAUAUCAUAUUUUGGGCUAUCUCCAAGAUAGCUAACAGAUGUGAGGAUUAUAAUAAUUGGAGAGUCAUGUAAGAUCUGGCUGCCAUAAAUGUCACUGAACAGCUUUUACAACAUUAUGAUAAAAUUAUAUGGCUAUACUGUCUAGAGAGACAGUGGUCACCAAAUGUGGGUUUUAAAAUAGAGAGUAGAGUUUGGCAAGUGGUGGAAAGGGAAGCCCCAAAUUCUUCUUUCUCCAUGGACACACUGACUCAACAACAAUACAUGGACUAAUUCACUUUGUGAGAAAUCUAGAAACCAAUUAGGAGAGGCGUCUCCACCUCAGGGAAAAAAACAGCUGCAUUCCAGUUGGUAGGAAAAUUUGUCACACAUACUCAUCAUCGUUCCUCCUCAUGGCUCAGCACAGCAAAACAGGGAGAAAACUCCCAGCUCCUGGCUUCCCCCUUUGAAGGGAAUUAGGAGACUGAAACGUCCAUUCAAUGUAUAGACAUUUCAGCGGACCCCCUAAAAGAUUGGUUUUUGUCUUGCCUGAAUCUAAGCAUUAAUGAAAAAGGACACGAUGUUGCAGAUCACUGAGAACAAAGGGGUGGUUUGGACUAGUCCAGCACUCACUUGCUAUAUAGUCCAUUUCCCAAGCUCAGCUCAGAAUGAGCAAGAGAAAACCCCAACCCUCGGCAUCUCCCUGCAGAGGGAAAGAGUUGGAGACUGUGAUCAAUACUCUGGGUUUCAG